UAGGGAAUCUUCCGCAAUGGGCGAAAGCCUGACGGAGCAACGCCGCGUGAGUGAUGAAGGUCUUCGGAUCGUAAAACUCUGUUAUUAGGGAAGAACAAAUGUGUAAGUAACUAUGCACGUCUUGACGGUACCUAAUCAGAAAGCCACGGCUAACUACGUGCCAGCAGCCGCGGUAAUACGUAGGUGGCAAGCGUUAUCCGGAAUUAUUGGGCGUAAAGCGCGCGUAGGCGGUUUUUUAAGUCUGAUGUGAAAGCCCACGGCUCAACCGUGGAGGGUCAUUGGAAACUGGAAAACUUGAGUGCAGAAGAGGAAAGUGGAAUUCCAUGUGUAGCGGUGAAAUGCGCAGAGAUAUGGAGGAACACCAGUGGCGAAGGCGACAUUCUGGUCUGUAACUGACGCUGAUGUGCGAAAGCGUGGGGAUCAAACAGG
rnacentral:rRNA from 1 species